rnacentral:rRNA from 1 species
UUAAGCGACUAAGCGUACACGGUGGAUGCCCUGGCAGUCAGAGGCGAUGAAGGACGUGCUAAUCUGCGAUAAGCGCCGGUAAGGUGAUAUGAACCGUUAUAACCGGCGAUUUCCGAAUGGGGAAACCCAGUGUGACUCGUCACACUAUCAUUAACUGAAUCCAUAGGUUAAUGAGGCGAACCGGGGGAACUGAAACAUCUAAGUACCCCGAGGAAAAGAAAUCAACCGAGAUUCCCCCAGUAGCGGCGAGCGAACGGGGAGGAGCCCAGAGCCUGAAUCAGCAUGUGUGUUAGUGGAAGCGUCUGGAAAGGCGCGCGAUACAGGGUGACAGCCCCGUACACAAAAGCGCAUGUGCUGUGAGCUCGAUGAGUAGGGCGGGACACGUGGUAUCCUGUCUGAAUAUGGGGGGACCAUCCUCCAAGGCUAAAUACUCCUGACUGACCGAUAGUGAACCAGUACCGUGAGGGAAAGGCGAAAAGAACCCCGGCGAGGGGAGUGAAAAAGAACCUGAAACCGUGUACGUACAAGCAGUGGGAGCACCCUUUGGGGUGUGACUGCGUACCUUUUGUAUAAUGGGUCAGCGACUUAUAUUCUGUAGCAAGGUUAACCGUAUAGGGGAGCCGCAGGGAAACCGAGUCUUAACCGGGCGUUAAGUUGCAGGGUAUAGACCCGAAACCCGGUGAUCUAGCCAUGGGCAGGUUGAAGGUUGGGUAACACUAACUGGAGGACCGAACCGACUAAUGUUGAAAAAUUAGCGGAUGAUCUGUGGCUGGGGGUGAAAGGCCAAUCAAACCGGGAGAUAGCUGGUUCUCCCCGAAAGCUAUUUAGGUAGCGCCUCGUGAACUCAUCUCCGGGGGUAGAGCACUGUUUCGGCUAGGGGGCCAUCCCGGCUUACCAACCCGAUGCAAACUGCGAAUACCGGAGAAUGUUAUCACGGGAGACACACGGCGGGUGCUAACGUCCGUCGUGAAGAGGGAAACAACCCAGACCGCCAGCUAAGGUCCCAAAGUCAUGGUUAAGUGGGAAACGAUGUGGGAAGGCCCAGACAGCCAGGAUGUUGGCUUAGAAGCAGCCAUCAUUUAAAGAAAGCGUAAUAGCUCACUGGUCGAGUCGGCCUGCGCGGAAGAUGUAACGGGGCUAAACCAUGCACCGAAGCUGCGGCAGCGACACUGUGUGUUGUUGGGUAGGGGAGCGUUCUGUAAGCCUGUGAAGGUGGCCUGUGAGGGUUGCUGGAGGUAUCAGAAGUGCGAAUGCUGACAUAAGUAACGAUAAAGCGGGUGAAAAGCCCGCUCGCCGGAAGACCAAGGGUUCCUGUCCAACGUUAAUCGGGGCAGGGUGAGUCGACCCCUAAGGCGAGGCCGAAAGGCGUAGUCGAUGGGAAACGGGUUAAUAUUCCCGUACUUGGUGUUACUGCGAAGGGGGGACGGAGAAGGCUAUGUUGGCCGGGCGACGGUUGUCCCGGUUUAAGCGUGUAGGCUGGUUUUCCAGGCAAAUCCGGAAAAUCAAGGCUGAGGCGUGACGACGAGGCACUACGGUGCUGAAGCAACAAAUGCCCUGCUUCCAGGAAAAGCCUCUAAGCAUCAGGUAACACGAAAUCGUACCCCAAACCGACACAGGUGGUCAGGUAGAGAAUACCAAGGCGCUUGAGAGAACUCGGGUGAAGGAACUAGGCAAAAUGGUGCCGUAACUUCGGGAGAAGGCACGCUGACACGUAGGUGAAGUGAUUUACUCAUGGAGCUGAAGUCAGUCGAAGAUACCAGCUGGCUGCAACUGUUUAUUAAAAACACAGCACUGUGCAAACACGAAAGUGGACGUAUACGGUGUGACGCCUGCCCGGUGCCGGAAGGUUAAUUGAUGGGGUCAGCGCAAGCGAAGCUCCUGAUCGAAGCCCCGGUAAACGGCGGCCGUAACUAUAACGGUCCUAAGGUAGCGAAAUUCCUUGUCGGGUAAGUUCCGACCUGCACGAAUGGCGUAAUGAUGGCCAGGCUGUCUCCACCCGAGACUCAGUGAAAUUGAACUCGCUGUGAAGAUGCAGUGUACCCGCGGCAAGACGGAAAGACCCCGUGAACCUUUACUAUAGCUUGACACUGAACAUUGAGCCUUGAUGUGUAGGAUAGGUGGGAGGCUUUGAAGUGUGGACGCCAGUCUGCAUGGAGCCGACCUUGAAAUACCACCCUUUAAUGUUUGAUGUUCUAACGUGGACCCGUAAUCCGGGUUGCGGACAGUGUCUGGUGGGUAGUUUGACUGGGGCGGUCUCCUCCUAAAGAGUAACGGAGGAGCACGAAGGUUGGCUAAUCCUGGUCGGACAUCAGGAGGUUAGUGCAAUGGCAUAAGCCAGCUUGACUGCGAGCGUGACGGCGCGAGCAGGUGCGAAAGCAGGUCAUAGUGAUCCGGUGGUUCUGAAUGGAAGGGCCAUCGCUCAACGGAUAAAAGGUACUCCGGGGAUAACAGGCUGAUACCGCCCAAGAGUUCAUAUCGACGGCGGUGUUUGGCACCUCGAUGUCGGCUCAUCACAUCCUGGGGCUGAAGUAGGUCCCAAGGGUAUGGCUGUUCGCCAUUUAAAGUGGUACGCGAGCUGGGUUUAGAACGUCGUGAGACAGUUCGGUCCCUAUCUGCCGUGGGCGCUGGAGAACUGAGGGGGGCUGCUCCUAGUACGAGAGGACCGGAGUGGACGCAUCACUGGUGUUCGGGUUGUCAUGCCAAUGGCACUGCCCGGUAGCUAAAUGCGGAAGAGAUAAGUGCUGAAAGCAUCUAAGCACGAAACUUGCCCCGAGAUGAGUUCUCCCUGAGACUUAGAGUCUCCUGAAGGAACGUUGAAGACGACGACGUUGAUAGGCCGGGUGUGUAAGCGCAGCGAUGCGUUGAGCUAACCGGUACUAAUGAACCGUGAGGCUUAACCUU